AAAGUACAGAAAUUGCGUAGCAACCUGUUACUCUUUUUCUUGUAAUUUUUUAUUUAAUAUCAUUAUUCUUGUUUUAAAGCUUUUGAAGUUUAUGCCUAGUCAUGAGGAAAAAGUCCUUUUGGAAGAACAUAGCAUAGAAAUUGAUAAUAUGGCUAGAUCUGAUAGAUUUUUAUUUGAAAUAAGCAAGAAUGUUUCUGAAAACCGUGCUCAGAGAUAUGAGAUUUCAAUAAUGAAGUUCUUUUUAAAGUUUCUAUACAAAGUUUUUUGUGAGUACUGAUCUUUUAUGCAUAUCUCAUUCUUUUUCAGCGAAUAAUUUAAUCCCUACUCCCUAUUCUUAACUACUACUUUUUUAUGGGACUUACUUAGUUCAAAUUAGGAGGGGGGGGGAGGAUUCCUUUUCUGAGCCUUGCUUAGAACUUUAUGAAUCCAGGCGAAAAAAUUAUAUACUUCAAAAAAAUGAGACAUGUAACCAAUUGUUUUUUUAACAUAAAAGAAAAUUAAGAUGCAUAGAUUAAGAAUAAACUGGAAAUACUAUGAAAUGACAAAUAAAUGAAAGA